rnacentral:rRNA from 1 species
GGCGGGGACGCCUGUCGUUUACUGUGAACAAAUUAGAGUGUUCAAAGCAAGGUGUACUUGAAUACAUUAGCAUGGAAUAAUAAGAUAGGACUUUGGUGGUUCUUUUUAGAUAUUUUGUUGGUUUGCACGCCAAAGUAAUGAUUAAUAGGAGCAGUUGGGGGUAUUCGUAUUCAAUUGUCAGAGGUGAAAUUCUUGGAUUUAUAGAAGACGAACUACUGCGAAAGCAUUUACCAAGGAUGUUUUCAUUAAUCAAGAACGAAAGUUAGGGGAUCGAAGAAGAUUAGAUACCUUCGUAGUCCUAACCAUAAACCAUGCCGGACUCGGGAUUGGCGGUCGUUACUUUUUAUCGACUCCGUCAGCACCGUAUGAGAAAUCAAAGUCUUUGGGUUCCGGGGGGAGUAUGGUCGCAAGGCUGAAACUCAAAGU